rnacentral:misc_RNA from 1 species
UUAGUUUAGUUGAGUUGAGUUGAGGCUUCAUUGAAUAUGAAAGUUUAGAUAAAUAUAUUGUUUAUUGAAUUAUGGACCCAUUGGCAUGUUUUAUUGAAUUUAUAUACGGUCUGCUUUGGUGAAAUUUCCUUGCUUGUUCACUUGGAUCCAAUAUAUUGUUUACUGAAUUAUGAUCUACUUUUAGACUGAAUUUUGUUGAUUGUUUUUUCUUCUUCAUAAAUUUAGUAGUGUUGUCAUAUGAAAUUUGUUGUAGCAAAUAUGAUUUUCCUUGGAAAAAAUUACACAUAAAAAUUACACAUAAAA